GUAAGUAAAAGUCGUAACAAGGUUUCCGUAGGUGAACCUGCGGAAGGAUCAUUAUUGUAUAACCGAGGUGCGAGGGCUGUCGCUGACCCGAAAGGUCGUGCACGCCCGAGUGCCCUCACACACAUCCAUCUCACCCCUAUGUGCACCACCGCGUGGGUCCCCCUUUGGCUUGUUCGGAGGGGGGCUUACGUUUUCACACAAACUUUGUAUGCAGUGUAGAAUGUAUUUUUUGGUUUUGCGAUCACGCAAUCAAUACAACUUUCAACAACGGAUCUCUUGGCUCUC
rnacentral:misc_RNA from 1 species